GCUAUCACUCCAGAAGUUGCCAUCGGUGUGUAUUCAUGCGUGUAACAUGGUUUUGGAGAAGCAAGCAAUGAUGAUACAGGGAUUGAUGUUGUUCGAAAAAAGAAGAAAUUCAUUGUAUCGAUUCAUUUUUGCAUGUAUUGUAGUGUUAUAUAUUCAUGUGUGUAACAUGUUUUCGGAGAAGCAAGCAAUAAUGAUCCAGGGAUUGAUGUUGUUCGAAAAAAGAAGAUAUUCAUUGUAUCGAUUCAUUUUUGCAUGUAUUGUAGUGUUGUCUAUUCAUGUGUGUAACAUGUUUUUGGAGAAGCAAGCAAUAAUGAUCCAGGGAUUGAUGUUGUUCGAAAA
rnacentral:lncRNA from 1 species